GCCUGAUCCAGCUAUGCCGCGUGAGUGAGGAAGGCCUUAGGGUUGUAAAACUCUUUCAGUGGAGAAGAACAUGACGGUAUCCACAGAAGAAGUCCCGGCUAACUCCGUGCCAGCAGCCGCGGUAAUACGGAGGGGGCUAAGCGUUGUUCGGAAUUACUGGGCGUAAAGGGCACGUAGGCCGUCUAAUAAGUUAGGUGUGAAAUCCCUGAGCUUAACUCAGGAACUGCACUUAAAACUGUUAGACUAGAGUAUGAAAGAGGGUAACGGAAUUCCUAGUGUAGAGGUGAAAUUCGCAGAUAUUAGGAGGAACACCAGAGGCGAAGGCGGUUACCUGGGGCAUUACUGACGUUGAGGUGCGAAAGCAUAGGGAGCAAACAGGAUUAGAUACCCUGGUAGUCUAUGCUGUAAAUGAUGAGCGCUAGAUGUAGACUUUUGUCUGUAUCGCAGCUAACGCGUUAAGCGUUCCGCCUGGGGAUUACGAUCGCAAGAUUAAAACUCAAAGGAAUUGACGGGGACCCGCACAAGCGGUGGAGCAUGUGGUUUAAUUCGAUGCAACGCGAAGAACCUUACCACACCUUGACAUGGAAGUCGUAUUUUUUCGAAAGAAAAAAGUCAGUUUGGCUGGACUUCACACAGGUGUUGCAUGGCUGUCGUCAGCUCGUGUCGUGAGAUGUUGGGUUAAGUCCCGCAACGAGCGCAACCCUUAUCCUUAGUUGCUAGCAGGUAAUGCUGAGAACUUUAAGGAAACUGCCGGUGACAAACCGGAGGAAGGUGAGGAUGACGUCAAGUUAUCACGGCCCUUAUGGUGUGGGCUACACACGUGCUACAAUGGUGAUUACAAAAGGAAGCGAUACUGUGAAGUGGAGCAAACCCCAAAAGAUCACCUCAGUACGAAUUGUUUUCUGCAACUCGAAAACAUGAAGUUGGAAUCGCUAGUAAUCGUGGAUCAGCAUUGCCACGGUGAAUACGUUCUCGGGUCUUGUACACACUGCCCGUCAUGUCAUGGGAAUUGGCUUGGCCUAAAAAUAGCUAGUCAACCGCAAGGGGGCUGC
rnacentral:rRNA from 1 species